rnacentral:rRNA from 1 species
CGUGGCGGACGGGUGAGUAACGCGUGAGUAACCUGCCUUUCAGAGGGGAAUAACGUUUUGAAAAGAACGCUAAUACCGCAUAACGUACAGUUACCGCAUGGUAGCAGUACCAAAGGAGCAAUCCGCUGAAAGAUGGACUCGCGUCCGAUUAGCUAGUUGGUGGGGUAAAGGCCUACCAAGGCGACGAUCGGUAGCCGGACUGAGAGGUUGAACGGCCACAUUGGGACUGAGACACGGCCCAG